rnacentral:rRNA from 1 species
GACGAACGCUGGCGGCGUGCUUAACACAUGCAAGUCGAACGCUGAAGCCUGGUGCUUGCACCGGGUGGAUGAGUGGCGAACGGGUGAGUAAUACGUGAGUGACCUGCCUUUGACUCUGGGAUAAGCCUGGGAAACUGGGUCUAAUACCGGAUGCGACUACUGCCCGCAUGGGCUGGUGGUGGAAAGGGUUAUGUACUGGUCUUAGAUGGGCUCACGGCCUAUCAGCUGGUUGGUGGGGUAAUGGCCUACCAAGGCGACGACGGGUAGCCGGCCUGAGAGGGUGACCGGCCACACUGGGACUGAGACACGGCCCAGACUCCUACGGGAGGCAGCAGUGGGGAAUAUUGCACAAUGGGCGCAAGCCUGAUGCAGCGACGCCGCGUGAGGGAUGACGGCCUUCGGGUUGUAAACCUCUUUCAGCAGGGAAGAAGCGGAAGUGACGGUACCUGCAGAAGAAGCGCCGGCUAACUACGUGCCAGCAGCCGCGGUAAUACGUAGGGCGCAAGCGUUGUCCGGAAUUAUUGGGCGUAAAGAGCUCGUAGGCGGCUUGUCGCGUCUGCUGUGAAAGCCCGGGGGCUUAACUCCGGGUGUGCAGUGGGUACGGGCAGGCUAGAGUGCAGUAGGGGUAACUGGAAUUCCUGGUGUAGCGGUGAAAUGCGCAGAUAUCAGGAGGAACACCGAUGGCGAAGGCAGGUUACUGGGCUGUUACUGACGCUGAGGAGCGAAAGCAUGGGGAGCGAACAGGAUUAGAUACCCUGGUAGUCCAUGUCGUAAACGUUGGGCACUAGGUGUGGGGGACAUUCCACGUUUUCCGCGCCGUAGCUAACGCAUUAAGUGCCCCGCCUGGGGAGUACGGCCGCAAGGCUAAAACUCAAAGGAAUUGACGGGGGCCCGCACAAGCGGCGGAGCAUGCGGAUUAAUUCGAUGCAACGCGAAGAACCUUACCAAGGCUUGACAUACACCGGAUCGUUCCAGAGAUGGUUCUUCCCUUUUGGGCUGGUGUACAGGUGGUGCAUGGUUGUCGUCAGCUCGUGUCGUGAGAUGUUGGGUUAAGCCCCGCAACGAGCGCAACCCUCGUUCUAUGUUGCCAGCACGUGAUGGUGGGGACUCAUAGGAGACUGCCGGGGUCAACUCGGAGGAAGGUGGGGAUGACGUCAAAUCAUCAUGCCCCUUAUGUCUUGGGCUUCACGCAUGCUACAAUGGCCGGUACAAUGGGUUGCGAUACUGUGAGGUGGAGCUAAUCCCAAAAAGCCGGUCUCAGUUCGGAUUGGGGUCUGCAACUCGACCCCAUGAAGUCGGAGUCGCUAGUAAUCGCAGAUCAGCAACGCUGCGGUGAAUACGUUCCCGGGCCU